rnacentral:misc_RNA from 1 species
UCUCCACAGUUACGUGGUAGGAUACGCAACCCUAUGAUCCGGCCCUCGUGGAGGAGGAGACAUGCUCUCUCCGAAAUGGCGAUAACCGGGUACAUGUCUUGCCUCUACCUCUCCACAGUUACGUGGUAGGAUACGCAACCCUAUGAUCUGGCCCUCAUGGAGGAUGAGACAUGCUCUGUCUGAAAUGGCGAUAACCGGGUACAUGUCUUGCCUCUACCUCUCCACAGUUACGUGGUAGGAUACGCAACCCUAUGAUCCGGCCCUCAUGGAUGAUGAGACAUUCCCAAUGCUCUCUCUGAAAUGGCGAUAACCGGGUACAUGUCUUGCCUCUACCUCUCCACAGUUACGUGGUAGGAUAUGCAACCCUAUGA